rnacentral:rRNA from 1 species
UACGGGGGGUGCAAGCGUUAAUCGGAAUGACUGGGCGUAAAGGGCAUGUAGGCGGAUAGGUAAGUUAGAUGUGAAAGGCCUGGGCUUAACCUAGGAAUUGCAUUAAAACUAUCUAACUAGAGUACUGUAGAGGGAGGUAGAAUUCCACGUGUAGCGGUGAAAUGCGUAGAGAUGUGGAGGAAUACCGGUGGCGAAGGCGACCUUCUGGAUAGAUACUGACGCUGAGAUGCGAAAGCGUGGGGAGCAAACAGG